AAAGUCCCUGUUGGGUAAGGGUUAGCCACCCACCCGUAUCGAGUCUUGCGUCUGUGGCGGAGUCAACGAGGGUGUUGGCGAACAAAACAGGUGAAGCGUAGACAGAGAAUCCUGAAGGCCGUAGGGAGGGCCGCGCCUCCUGAAGAGCUAGUACAGCUUCGAAAAAGGGAUUGUUGCGGAUGCCGGGGGUAUUAACGGUCACCGAAGGCAACACAAGAUCAUCCGAAAUGGCGAGGAUGUGAAGGUCCGCCGGAGUCCACAGGCCA
rfam:Syntrophobacterales bacterium GWC2_56_13 gwc2_scaffold_1197, whole genome shotgun sequence.